rnacentral:lncRNA from 1 species
AUGGGCAGUUCUGUGCUGGGCCCGGGCCUGUGCGCUGCCCCAUCCCUGGUCCCGGGGCUUCCCUCCCCUUCCGCACAGGCAGGAGGCCCAGCAGGUAUUGCACGGGGAGCAGCAGGUGGGGAGGACGCGCGGGCGGGGUCUGCCCAGAGCCCUUGGAGCCCCGGCCAGGCGGUCCCCGGUGGGCGCCCCGGCCCGACCCCAGGGGCCGGAGUUGUGCUUGUGCGGGGCCCUGCCCGGCCGCUCGCGCCGCGCCCAGACGCGCCCAUCCUGAGGUAUAGGUCAGUGUGCGGGGAGGGCCCGGGCGGCGCAGGCGGGCCCGGCGGGGCAGCGCAGGCGGGCCCGGCGAGGCGGCGCUCACUCCAGCAUGGCGUCCAGCUGGUCGGCCAGGUCGUCGAACAUGCUGCCGAUGUCGUCCAGGAUGCUGCCCGUGCUCUUUUCCGCCGCCGAGUCGCUGCGGGGCGCGCGACGCGGGGCGUGAGCGGGCGGGGUGGGCCUGGCCACGCCCACUUCGGUCAGGACACGCCCACAGCCCGCAUCUCCGUCGGGCUCCGCCUACCGCACGAUGACCUCGACCGAGCCCCGCUGACGCCGCGCCUGUCCCUACUGAGCCCCGCUCACGCCACGCCCAUCUCUACCAAGCCCCGCCCACCUGCUGAGCCCCGCCCUCCGCCCGCCAGGCCACGCCCCGCACCUACCGCGGGCCCUGCGCGUCCUCCUGCCGGAUUUUCUCCUCCACCGCCUGGAGCGCCGCGGCCAAGCAUGCGCUUGUCUCCUCCAGCUUCUGCCGGGCGCUGUCCCCGGGCGAGGCGCCUUCGGUUGGGGCGGGGGCGCGGCGGCGGCAGCGGCGGCGGCGCGCGGGGGCUUGGCGGGCACGUGCAGCGCGGGCGCGCCGGGGGACGGGGGCUUGACAGGGCUGGUGCCCAGCGAGGGCGGCGUACCGGGCGGCUUGGCGAGGGCGGCGGGCGGCUGGCGCGCGGGCGAGGGUGCGGGCGAAGGGCCAGCGCUGCCCGAAGGCAGCCCCGCGGCCACCUUGGCGGGCUUGGGCGCCGUGGGCGGCGGCGGCGGCUUGGGAGACACGGGCGGCGGUGUGCCGUGGGCGCGCUUCACCUCUGCGGGAAGGACCACGCUGGCACCAAGCGGACACGAACCCCGCCGCCGGGCCCCCUGCCCCGGCCUCCCGCGGCCUACUCGCGCCGCUGCCUCCCCAGCGGACCAGGAAGGACCUUGCUCACCUUGCCCUGGAUGCAUGAGAGGGUCUGGGGACACGUUCCCACCCCACCUGGGCUUCCAUCAAACCCAAGAAAAGGAAAACCCCGCAGACCACCGAGUAGAGAGGUGGAGCAGAGUCCUGCCGCCCCCUCACCCCACCCUGGCUGGCCCCAUGCGCCUACCUGGGCUGCCAGGGCCUGGCAGCGGCACCUUCUUGGAGGUGGGUGUGGGCGAGCCCUGGAUCUUGGGCAUGGGCUGCGUCAGGACUGGCUUGGGAGAGACAGGCGGCUUGGCCGGCUUCCGGGCUUCGCCCUCGGGCGGGGGUAG